CACGUAGGGCGCAAGCGUUGUCCGGAAUUAUUGGGCGUAAAGAGCUCGUAGGCGGUCUGUUGCGUCCGCUGUGAAAACUCGGGGCUUAACCCCGAGCCUGCAGUGGAUACGGGCAGACUAGAGGUAGGUAGGGGAGAAUGGAAUUCCCGGUGUAGCGGUGAAAUGCGCAGAUAUCGGGAGGAACACCGGUGGCGAAGGCGGUUCUCUGGGCCUUACCUGACGCUGAGGAGCGAAAGCCAGGGGAGCAAACGGGG
rnacentral:rRNA from 1 species